rnacentral:rRNA from 1 species
UACAGAGGGUGCGAGCGUUAAUCGGAUUUACUGGGCGUAAAGGGCGCGUAGGCGGUAAGAUGUGUGUGAUGUGAAAGCCCCGGGCUUAACCUGGGAAGUGCAUCGCAGACUAUCUAACUGGAGUAUAUGAGAGGGUGGCGGAAUUUCCGGUGUAGCGGUGAAAUGCGUAGAGAUCGGAAGGAACGUCAAUGGCGAAGGCAGCCACCUGGCAUAAUACUGACGCUGAGGCGCGAAAAGCGUGGGGAGCAACAGGAUU